rnacentral:tRNA from 1 species
GGAUUGAUAGUUUAGUUUGGUUAAAAUGUUGGCUUGUCACGUCGAAGACCACGGGUUCAAAUCCCGUUCAAUCCG